GAAAAUGAAAUCUGUUAAAAAUUCUGACAAAAACAUUCAAAAUGAUCAAGAAGAUGGUUUACAAUUUGGGUUUAUGUCUGUUAAAUUCACAUCUACUGUCGUUAAUCAGGAGCCUCUGCUUAAGGGCAUAUUGUGUCUUGAAAUAUUAACUAAUGGAGUAUAAUGCCAUAGUGAUUGCAAGGCAUUUAAAAGCAGUACUUAUUUCAUCUUUAUCUUUUUAUUUUAUUUUUUUGUGUGUUAUAAUGCUCAUAACACCUGGGCAGGUAUACAUAUUGGAAGCAGGUGCUACAAAUGUUUUAUUGAUUAGAGGGAUGUGACCAAAACGCUGCAGGCUACCAAUUUGGACUGAACCUGACAUGUCCACAUGUCCAUCUGACUCAUGAAGAAGAGACGUGGAUGGGGACCCAGCCCGGAUUCUGCACUUCAAGAUGAAGAAAGCAAAUAUACAAAGAAAUGCAUACAAGGAGCUUAAUUAUUUAAUUGGGCAAGAGUCGACAUGGAGUAUUAACUUGCAGGAAUUACCUAGAACUUUUCAUGCCUUCCUUGCAACUGGGAUACAUUUCUCCUUCCAAGGAAAACUGUCUCUUUUUAUCUGAACUGAAGAUGGUUAUG
rnacentral:lncRNA from 1 species